CGCGCCAAAUUUACCCUGUUUCAAAAAAGACUUAGCAAAAAAAUCCAAAUUUUGAAAACGAAGACUACUAGUCGCUGCGGAGUUCUGUUGUUAUCGCUAUUGUUUUAACUGAACAAAGACUGAAUACAUAAUUAAUGUAUGGGGUUAUAUGGUACUCUUGCCGUAGAUUUUUGCAUGUACGAAAAAGGUUUACAUUGUUUUGUUGGGUAGUUUUUCUUGAUUUAUUUUUUACAUUUCCGAGUUUUCAUUCCCUUGCUGUACUAUUCCUAUCACUUUUGUUGAUGAAAGCAUAAUAAAGAGGGUCGCAUACGGCUCGUGGUGACACACCUCAAUUGCUGUUUCUUAUUGAAUGAUGAAUGUUUUAUAUUCGUUUGAGCGGGAUAGCGAAAUAGAAUAUAAAUUUAUUAUCCAACACGCCAAAUAGUUGUGUCAGUGCGAGCAACUUUCGCGGAUAUUUCUGAAGUAAAAAUAUCGUGUGAUAUUUUUAUUUGUUUCGCACGUUAUUUGUACUCUACGAAGCACAUUUGAAUAAUGAUUUUGCUAUUAUUUGUCGAUGUGAGCUUUGAUUAAUUAACGGAUAAAAGUUAUUGAUCAGACUCCUGGUGCAUCCGUUUGUGCGAGUUUCUCAAGUUAGUUAACCCCAACAGUCUAACAAACACCAUGAGAAAUCAACUUCGGUGAUGUCUUGGCGUCUUGUUGCACUGAUGUUCUCCCAUUGUCAACUUCCGAAGACUGAACAAGUCCAGUACGAUGUUCACUUGUUAUAAUUAGUCGCUCCUCUUGGGAUUGAAUUUUCACAGAGGAAGGAAAGUUGACCAUGCUUCGUCAAAUUCCACUUGAGGUCGUGACACUACAUGGACCAAUCAAAGGCAUCCUGUGGUAAGCUCGUGGAGUAAGUAAGAUACUGUGUCAUGGAGCUGAUAUAAGGGAUUAUAAAGCCUAUAAAGUGGUUGCAAAUGUAGUGUAAUGCAUUUUUCUGUUGUAAGAUUACAUUCGUUUGUUGCAUUUGUUGUAUUUUGACUGUUGUUCAUUGAUUAAUAUACUUUGUCGAGUGGGAGUUUUGAAACCACUCCAGGAGAAGAGUAGUUUAUUCAAGAAAUACUGUACUAGCAAGUAACAGUUUAUUAACAAUAACUGUAAGGGUACAUUUCUUCGUAAACUUAACUAUACUGCAGAACUGAAUGCCAGAAUGUACAUACUAUCGUACUUUAAAGUAUCAAUGGAAACAGGACAAAAUAAAGUUUGUUUGUACCUUGAA